rnacentral:tRNA from 1 species
GGGGGUAUAGCUCAGCUGGAAGAGCACCUGCUUUGCAAGCAGGGGGUCAGCGGUUCGAGCCCGCUUACCUCCACCA